rnacentral:rRNA from 1 species
UACGAAGGGGGCUAGCGUUGCUCGGAAUCACUGGGCGUAAAGGGUGCGUAGGCGGGUCUUUAAGUCAGGGGUGAAAUCCUGGAGCUCAACUCCAGAACUGCCUUUGAUACUGAAGAUCUUGAGUUCGGGAGAGGUGAGUGGAACUGCGAGUGUAGAGGUGAAAUUCGUAGAUAUUCGCAAGAACACCAGUGGCGAAGGCGGGGCUCUGGACAGUUACUGACGCUGAGGCGCGAAGGUCAGGGGAGCAAACGGG